GACGAACGCUGGCGGCGUGCCUAACACAUGCAAGUCGAACGGAACUGUUUUGAAAGAUUUCUUCGGAAUGAAUUUGAUUUAGUUUAGUGGCGGACGGGUGAGUAACGCGUGAGUAACCUGCCUUCAAGAGGGGAAUAACAUUCUGAAAAGAAUGCUAAUACCUCAUGACAUAUCGGAACCACAUGGUUUUGAUAUCAAAGAUUUUAUCGCUUGAAGAUGGACUCGCGUCCGAUUAGUUAGUUGGUGAGGUAACGGCUCACCAAGACCGCGAUCGGUAGCCGGACUGAGAGGUUGAACGGCCACAUUGGGACUGAGACACGGCCCAGACUCCUACGGGAGGCAGCAGUGGGGGAUAUUGCGCAAUGGGGGCAACCCUGACGCAGCAACGCCGCGUGAAGGAUGAAGGUUUUCGGAUUGUAAACUUCUUUUAUUAAGGACGAAAAAUGACGGUACUUAAUGAAUAAGCGCCGGCUAACUACGUG
rnacentral:rRNA from 1 species